GCCCACAGUAAAGGUUUCGGGCCAUUUCAAUAAUAGUAAUUCUGUUAAGAAUAUUCAUUUAGUUAUCGCAGUGGGUCGGGUAGCAGAGGCCGUGUUUCAUCAGACGAGUCAUUACAGAAAGCCUGACCGUAGUCGUUGCUGCUGGUCCUCCUGAUUUAUAUUCCUUUCGUUUCACCUUCGAAAGCAAUGGCUUUUCACUCUACAAUUCAUUGAGCUGAUGUCACAGUUGUUCACUGUACGCCGUCAAGAAGACCGUAAUAAAGGAGCAAGACGCUCCAUUUCCUGGCUCAUGAAUAAA